GUGUCGGUAGUGCAAUAGGUAGAACACGCGCCCCCGGAUAGGGUGAAAUGUAGGUUCGAGACCCGCCUGAUGCA